AUUGAACGCUGGCGGCAGGCCUAACACAUGCAAGUCGAGCGAGCGGCGGACGGGUGAGUUAUGCCUGGGAAUUGUCCUGUCGAGGGGUAUAACAGUUGCAAACGACUGCUAAUACCGCAUACGAUUCGAUCGCCAAGGUGGGUUUAGCUAGUUGGUGUGGUAAUGGCUCACCAAGGCGACGACCCCUAGCUGGUCUGAGAGGAUGAUAAGACACACUGGAACUGAGACACGGCCCAGAAGCCUACGGGAGGCAGCAGUGGGGAAUGUUGCACAAUGGGGGAAACCCUGAUGCAGCCAUGCCGCGUGUAUGAAGAAGGCCUUCGGGUUGUAAAGCACUUUCAGCGAGGAGGCGUUACUCGCAGAAGAAGCACCGGCUAACGCCGUGCCAGCAGCCGCGGUAAUAC
rnacentral:rRNA from 1 species